GACGAACGCUGGCGGCGUGCUUAACACAUGCAAGUCGAACGGAAAGGCCCUGCUUUUGUGGGGUGCUCGAGUGGCGAACGGGUGAGUAACACGUGAGUAACCUGCCCUUUACUUUGGGGUAACUUCAGGAAACUGGGGCUAAUACCGGAUAGGAGCUCCUGCUGCAUGGUGGGGGUUGGUAAAUUUCGGCGGUUGGGGAUGGACUCGCGGCUUAUCAGCUUGUUGGUGGGGUAGUGGCUUACCAAGGCUUUGACGGGUAGCCGGCCUGAGAGGGUGACCGGCCACAUUGGGACUGAGAUACGGCCCAGACUCCUACGGGAGGCAGCAGUGGGGAAUAUUGCACAAUGGGCGGAAGCCUGAUGCAGCAACGCCGCGUGCGGGAUGACGGCCUUCGGGGUGUAAACCGCUUUCGCCUGUGACGAAGCGUGAGUGACGGUAAUGGGUAAAGAAGCACCGGCUAACUACGUG
rnacentral:rRNA from 1 species